rnacentral:rRNA from 1 species
GAUGAACGCUGGCGGCGUGCCUAAUACAUGCAAGUCGUGCGAACAGACGAGGAGCUUGCUCCUCUGACGUUAGCGGCGGACGGGUGAGUAACACGUGGAUAACCUACCUAUAAGACUGGGAUAACUUCGGGAAACCGGAGCUAAUACCGGAUAAUAUAUUGAACCGCAUGGUUCAAUAGUGAAAGACGGUUUUGCUGUCACUUAUAGAUGGAUCCGCGCCGCAUUAGCUAGUUGGUAAGGUAACGGCUUACCAAGGCAACGAUGCGUAGCCGACCUGAGAGGGUGAUCGGCCACACUGGUACUGAGACACGGUCCAGACUCCUACGGGAGGCAGCAGUAGGGAAUCUUCCGCAAUGGGCGAAAGCCUGACGGAGCAACGCCGCGUGAGUGAUGAAGGUCUUCGGAUCGUAAAACUCUGUUAUUAGGGAAGAACAAAUGUGUAAGUAACUAUGCACGUCUUGACGGUACCUAAUCAGAAAGCCACGGCUAACUACGUG